ensembl:lncRNA
CGCAGCCCUUGGGUGGAGGCCUGUACUUGGCCUAAGGGGUGCAGCGGCGGGUAGCUGGGGCGUCUAGAGAAGGGAGGGGGAUGUAUGGUAGAGCAGGGAGCGCCUGGGUCCCCGAGGCAGCCCCUAGUGAGCCCGAGGUAUUUUCCUUAUAUGAUCAGGCCUCUCCUAGCCGGCGCUGCUGGUCUGGAGCCUGAGAGGAUUAUGAAAACGUGGCAGGGUUACCUGCUGUUCUGAAACUCCUGUAGACUAGGCUAAGAAUUAUGUGAUUCGCCUAAAUACUGGGAUUAAAGGGGAUUAAAGGCGUGCUUCACCAUACCUGGGUUCAACCUACCCUUUUUUUUUUUUUUUUGCGAAAAACGUCAGACAAGUGAAAAGGUCCCUUAGAGAGGAAUUUUCAUGCAGUCCUGUGCAAAGCUCAAGCUGUAGGAAUGGAUGUCUCUGCUCUUGCAUUGGGUUCCUCUGUUUCAUUUGCCCUCCAAGUCACUACGAGGAGGGACUUCCAUGUUUGCUCUUAGCUGUAAUUAUGUGAAUGGUCCUGAUAAAAUCGGGGUGAAAGGUAACACACUCAAAGGGGCAUGUGUAAGAAUAGCAGCAGUUUCAGUCUCAGAAAAGGAACUGAGGCGUUUCCUUAACCAAAUGACCAAACUUAAGAGUCACCAGUCAGGAAGCCAUGGACUCCCUGGUGCACGGAGAACACAACUCUCUUAUGUAGGACUCCUCCCCUAAAUGCCCUGAAUCUAAUCACGUCAAGACAAGCCCAACAUUAACUGACAUGUAGGAGACUGGCUUUGGGAGGUUUUCGUUUUGUUUGUAGUUAGGCACAGAAAUAUUUAUGGGUGAAGAUUCAGUGUCUGCAACUAAA